rnacentral:rRNA from 1 species
UACGUAGGGGGCGAGCGUUGUCCGAAGUUACUGGGCGUAAAGCGCGCGUAGGCGGCCAUCUAAGUUCGGGGUGAAAGGUUCAACGCUCAACGUGAACAGUGCCCUGAAUACUGGCUGGCUUGAGUUCGGGAGGGGGCAGUGGAAUUCCAGGUGUAGCGGUGAAAUGCGUAGAUAUCUGGAGGAACACCGAUGGCGAAGGCAGCUGCCUGGCCCAGAACUGACGCUGAGGUGCGAAAGCGUGGGGAGCGAACGGG